AAACUAAAAUAUAUAUAAAUAUAGAAAGGAAUAAAUAAACAUAUAUGUGUCUAUUUUUAAUAAAGUAAAGAAUGUAUAAAAAACUAUAAUAAGGAAAUCGCUCUUGCUCCGCGUUGACUGUGAUACACGUAGACGUCCAGCGGGGGCGCUGUAGGUUUAUUUACUUCCGGCGGUUGCUCACGUGACGCCCCGCCCAUCCCCAUACGUCACCGCCAGCACUGGGUCUUAUGAAAGUCCGCUGCUCUCAGACCAGCUGUGUGUGUUUUAUAAAUGUCCGUCUACAGGAACGCGGUUUGGUUCGUGAAAGGCCUGCAGGAGUACAGAAAAGUGGCUAUGAAGCAGCAGCUCAGCGUUUCUGUGCCUCAGACCUGGAGGUGGAUCUCAGUGGGAGGUCCUUCAUGAUCACAGGAGCCAACAGCGGCAUCGGGAAGAGGGCGGCGCUGGAGGUCUCUGCCAGAGGAGGAACCGUUCACAUGGUUUGCAGAAACGAGAGCCGAGCUGAAGCCGCCAGACAAGACAUCGUGGAACAAAGUAAAAACCAGAACGUCCACGUCCACAUCGUCGACUUGUCCAACGCCCGACGAGUCUGGGAGUUCGCCCAGAGCUUCACUCAGAGCAACAGCCUUCACGUGCUGAUCAACAACGCCGGCUGUAUGGUGAACCAGAGGGAGCUCACUGAGGACGGGCUGGAGAAGAACUUCGCCACGAAUACACUCGGUACCUUCAUCCUCACCACGGCGCUGAUUCCGUCCCUCAAGAGGGUUGAAGACCCGAGAGUGGUCACCGUGUCGUCGGGUGGGAUGCUCACGCAGAAGCUGAACGUGGACGACCUCCAGUUUGAGAAGGGAGCGUUUGACGGCACGGCGGCCUACGCUCAGAACAAAAGACAGCAGGUGAUCCUGACAGACAGGUGGGCCUCUCAGCACAAAGAGAUCCACUUCUCCUCCAUGCACCCCGGCUGGGCAGACACUCCAGCCGUGCAGACCUCCAUGCCUGCCUUCCACGCUAAGAUGCAGUCCAGGCUGAGGACGGAGGCCAUGGGCGCCGACACCGUCGUGUGGCUCGCCGCCUCGGCCGCCGCCAGGGAGCAGCCGAGCGGACUCUUCUUCCAGGGUCAGGAACCAAUCACAGCGCUCGCUUCUCUGACUUGUCAUCAUCGCUGCUCUUCAUCAGGAAGUCACAGUGGAACCUUUUCUCUUAGUCAACAUGGGGACGGACUGGAAAUAUGUUAAUGUUCUAGUUAGUUAACGCUGACUAGCAGGUUUUAUUGGCUUUGCUCCAGAGAGGACGACUGACCGUAGAGCCGUGGCGGCUCACCUCCCUCUGGCCUCCUCCAGGUCGUCCCCGCAGGAGGAGGAGAAGCUCCUGGCUGCUCUGGAGGAGU